ACUCCGGAACUGCCAUUGAAACUGUGAAACUUGAGGACGAGAGAGGUGAGUGGAAUUCCCAGUGUAGAGGUGAAAUUCGUAGAUAUUGGGAAGAACACCGGUGGCGAAGGCGGCUCACUGGCUCGUUUCUGACGCUCAGGCGCGACAGCGUGGGGAUCAAACAGGAUUAGAUACCCUGGUAGUCCACGCCGUAAACGAUGAACGCUAGCCGUUGGAUAGCUUGCUAUUCAGUGGCGCAGCUAACGCAUUAAGCGUUCCGCCUGGGGAGUACGGCCGCAAGGUUGAAACUCAAAGGAAUUGACGGGGGCCCGCACAAGCGGUGGAGCAUGUGGUUUAAUUCGACGCAACGCGCAGAACCUUACCAGGGUUUGACAUCCUGAGACCGCUCCUUAAUGGGAGUUUUCCCGC
rnacentral:rRNA from 1 species